AUGUUAAAUGACAGGAUCAAUACAUGUGACCUUUUGACCAGAAAAAGCAUGCACCUAGACUCCACUAUAUGUAAUCUAUGCAACAUUGAAGAAUAUGAAGACAGAACUCACCUCCUAUUCACUUGCCCUUUUAGUCAAGGAUUCUGGUGGAACAUUGGCAUUGAAUGGAAUUCUGAUCUGGAGAUCAACACUAUGAUCAUUGAUGCUAAACCCAGAUAUAAAAUUGAUCACUUUAUGGAAGUCAUGAUUCUUGGAUGCUGGAGCAUAUGGAACCAAAGGAAUGAUCUAAUAUUUGAGGGGAUACCCUGCUCAAUAAAUGAAUGCAAGAGUGACUUCAUUAGAUAUUUCAAAAUGACCAUGCUGAGGGCUAAGCCCACUCUAAAAGAGGGCAUGUCAUCUUGGAUAGACAAUAUUUAA
rnacentral:rRNA from 1 species